rnacentral:rRNA from 1 species
GGAUUAGUACGUUGGUCGUGCCUUCGGUAUGUACUGAUGUUACUGAUUCCUCCCUUCUGAAGAACCGCUAUGUCAUUCAUUUGGUGUGGUGGGGAAUCAGGACUGUUACUUUGAAAAAAUUAGAGUGUUUAAAGCAGGCUCACGCUUGAAUACAUUAGCAUGGAAUAACGGAAUAGGACGUUUGAUUCUAUUUUGUUGGUUUCUAGGAUCGACGUA